rnacentral:rRNA from 1 species
AUGCUGGAGUACCCGUCUUCCUGGGAGCUUUCGCGGGUGAGAGUGUCCUCCAUGCCGUCCAUUCUACGCACGAGCAGUGCUGGCUUCGGCCUACCGCGCGCGCAUCCGUCCGGUCAUGGCGCACGCCACAUACCGGCCAUUUAUCCUGCGUGGGUCCAUGCCACGCACGGUGCGCCCAGGGCCACCUGCUGCAGAGGGGCAAAGAAGAGCCACUGUGGUGGAGAGGCGCAGGGAAGGGAAAAUUCGUUGAAUGGAAGAGCUGCAAGCGGCGAUUGGGAGAGAGAUAUUACAGAAAAUAGGGCAGAUAUAGAAACGCACAUCCAGGCCGGGGAAGUGAAAUUCUCCCCUAAUAUAAAGCUCGACCCCCCUUCCGCUCCCGACACCGUGCGGCCGCCGCCGGGCCGCACCGGAAGGCCCCCACCCAACCUCCCCUCGUCCUCCGCGCACCUCCUCUCCCUCCGCAGCCGCCGGCAACAUCGCCGGGCGAGGGCCCUGUUGCGCGGCAGCGGCGGACCUCUUCUGGCGUCCCGAGAUCUGAGGCGGCGGCGGCCUGACCUAGGCAUCCUUGCGAUGAGGAUGGCGAGCAGCGGCGGCCGGGGUGCGUCAGGGGGAACAUCUGACCGCUGGUCUGGCCCUGUGGCCAAUUGUAAGGCGUAUGGAGGUGCGGAGCGUGCAGGAGGUAAGAUUUUCAUCCAGCACUCCUCGCUGUUUAGGAAAGGGAAGGUUGGGGACUGGGUGAACCAUAUGAGCAAUGAAAUGGGAGAAAAAAUGGAUCGCCUCGUGGAGGAAAAGUUCAAAGGAACUGGUCUAGAGUUCUGA